CAGAGUUAGCCGGUGCUUCUUCUGAUGGUACCGUCAUUAUCUUCCCAUCUGAAAGUGCUUUACAACCCGCAGGCCUUCUUCACACACGCGGCAUUGCUGGAUCAGGCUUUCGCCCAUUGUCCAAUAUUCCCCA
rnacentral:rRNA from 1 species